AAAAUUCAGCAGAAAUCGAGCAGAGCCUGCCGUCAUGACAUGACGGCGAAAACGCGGCAGGUAUAGAACGCGAGUUUGCUACAUCAGAUGUGUGAUGACUUCUGCACACAGGACGCGGCAAAGCGGCAUCGCGGCGGUAGUAAGGUUGAUCGCCCGACGUGUCUCCCGUCGAAUCCCACACUUCCCGGACCUGAUCCUCCCAGAAGUCUUCUCAAAGAUUUCCACCUUCAUAUAAAAAAAAGUUCAAAUUGGACGGUUUUUGCAUGUGAUAUCAUCUUGGGUUUAAUUAACUCUCUGCAGUCAGUCGAAAACGCCACAUUUAAAUUUAAGUAUAUAAUCAUAAAAUAUAUAAUUCGUAAUGUAUAUGUAAAUUAAAUAUCAUCAAAUUUAUAAAAUUAUAUAAUGUAAAUUAAAUGUAAUAAUAAUAUUAAUAAACAUAUGUACAUUGCAUACAUUAAUUAUUUAUUUUACUAAUUAAAAAUUAUUAAUAAUACGUCAUAUCGUGUUAAAUUUUUGCUAUAUUUUUCCGAUUACUUGUGACGACAGCUUGGUGCUCGAUUUCUGCUACGUUUUUGCCGUCACAACCGACAAAGCAGAUCGCGUUCUAUAUCUGCUGCGUUUUCGCCGGCAUGUCAUGACGGCAGGCUCUGCUCGAUUUCUGCUGCAUUUUUGCUGUCAGUACUUCAUGUGACACAUCGUGCUGUAUCUUCGCCGCGUUUCUGGUGUCGCAGCGUGAUAGCAUUUCAUGCUUCGUUUUUGCUGUCUUUCUGCGUUUAGAGUUUAAUUUGUCAGAUUGUGUUCGAUAUUUACUAUAAAUUUGCUGUCAUGUUAUGGUAGCAGAUGAUAUUCGAUUUUUGCUGUAUUUCUAUCAAUAUUUUCUGUUGAUAAUCUGUGCUGUUAGAAACUAAGCUUAAUGAGGAAGCAGCAGAUUGAAAUCUGCUGCGAUAUCAUGCUCGAGUUUGCUGGCAUAUUGCCGGCAAGCUGCUAGCAUUUUGCUUGCUGGGUAUAUA